rfam:Stereum hirsutum FP-91666 SS1 unplaced genomic scaffold STEHIscaffold_2, whole genome shotgun sequence.
CCUCCGAUAGCUCAAUGGUAGAGCGCGGGUGUACUUUCCUCCCACUUCUCAACAUUGUGAUGCCGGAGACGUUGGUUCGAGUCCAACUCGGAGGA